rnacentral:tRNA from 1 species
GUUAGUAUAGCUUAUUUAAAGCGUGGCACUGAAAAUGCCCAGAUAGAUUUUAAAAAAUCUUGCAGACA